AACGCACGAGACCUGCGGACCUGCGGAGGGAUCAUUACAGGACUCGCAAGACUCCUACAACCCUGUGAACCUACUAUACGAACGUUGCUUCGGCGGGUGCGCCCCGGGGAUUCGCUCCCGCGGCGCGUCAGCCCGCCGGCAGCCUACAAAUUCUGUUUCUUUGCGUUGGCAUCUCGAGAAAAACAAAUAAGUUAAAACUUUCAACAAUGGAUCUCU
rnacentral:misc_RNA from 1 species